rnacentral:rRNA from 1 species
CGGACGGGUGAGUAAUGUCUGGGAAACGGCCCGGUGGAGGGGGAUAACUACUGGAAACAGUAGCUAAUACCGCAUAACGUCGCAAGACCAAAGAGGGGGACCUUAGGGCCUCUUGCCAUCGGAUGUGCCCAGAUGGGAUUAGCUAGUAGGUGGGGUAACGGCUCACCUAGGCGACGAUCCCUAGCUGGUCUGAGAGGAUGACCAGCCACACUGGAACUGAGACACGGUCCAG